rnacentral:rRNA from 1 species
GUAGGUGGCAAGCGUUGUCCGGAAUUAUUGGGCGUAAAGCGCGCGCAGGCGGUCCUUUAAGUCUGAUGUGAAAGCCCACGGCUCAACCGUGGAGGGUCAUUGGAAACUGGGGGACUUGAGUACAGAAGAGGAAAGCGGAAUUCCAAGUGUAGCGGUGAAAUGCGUAGAGAUUUGGAGGAACACCAGUGGCGAAGGCGGCUUUCUGGUCUGUAACUGACGCUGAGGCGCGAAAGCGUGGGGAGCAAACAGGAUUAGAUACCCUGGUAGUCCACGCCGUAAACGAUGAGUGCUAAGUGUUAGGGGGUUUCCGCCCCCUUAGUGCUGCAGCUAACGCAUUAAGCACUCCGCCUGGGGAUACGGCCGCAAGGCUGA